UACAGAGGUCUCGAGCGUUAGGCGGAAUCACUGGGCUUAAAGCGUGUGUAGGCGGAUCGGUAAGUACCUUGUGAAAUCCCACAGCUUAACUGUGGAACUGCUUGGUAUACUGCCAGUCUUGAGCCAGCUAGGGGCUACCGGAACAAAUGGUGGAGCGGUGAAAUGCGUAGAUAUCGUCUGGAACGCCGAAGGUGAAAACAGCUCGCUGGGGCUGCGCUGACGCUGAGACACGAAAGCCAGGGGAGCGAACGGG
rnacentral:rRNA from 1 species